GAUGAACGCUGGCGGCGUGCCUAACACAUGCAAGUCGAGCGAUUCUCUUCGGAGAAGAGCGGCGGACGGGUGAGUAACGCGUGGGUAACCUGCCCUGUACACACGGAUAACAUACCGAAAGGUAUGCUAAUACGAGAUAAUAUGCUUUUAUCGCAUGGUAGAAGUAUCAAAGCUUUUGCGGUACAGGAUGGACCCGCGUCUGAUUAGCUAGUUGGUAAGGUAACGGCUUACCAAGGCGACGAUCAGUAGCCGACCUGAGAGGGUGAUCGGCCACAUUGGAACUGAGACACGGUCCAAACUCCUACGGGAGGCAGCAGUGGGGAAUAUUGCACAAUGGGCGAAAGCCUGAUGCAGCAACGCCGCGUGAGCGAUGAAGGCCUUCGGGUCGUAAAGCUCUGUCCUCAAGGAAGAUAAUGACGGUACUUGAGGAGGAAGCCCCGGCUAACUACGUGCCAGCCGCCGCGGUAACAC
rnacentral:rRNA from 1 species